rnacentral:rRNA from 1 species
AGUGGUCGGGACGAUUAUUGGGCCUAAAGCAUCCGUAGCCGGUUUUACAAGUCCUCCGUUAAAUCCAGCUGCUUAACAGAUGGGCUGCGGAGGAUACUAUAAGACUAGGAGGCAGGAGAGGCAAGCGGUACUCAGUGGGUAGGGGUAAAAUCCGUUGAUCCAUUGAAGACCACCAGUGGCGAAGGCGGCUUGCCAGAAUGCGCUCGACGGUGAGGGAUGAAAGCUGGGGGAGCAAACCGG